rnacentral:rRNA from 1 species
ACGCUUGAAGUCAGUCGCGUUGACUGGUGAUCAGCCUUGCUUUUGCAUGGUGUAUUCACUAGCUGACGGGUCAGUAUCAAUUUUGAUUGCUGGAAAAAGGCUUGGGAAAUGUGGCAGCUUCGGCUGUGUUAUAGUCUCUUGUCACAUACAGCAGUUGGGAUUGAGGAAUUCAGCACGCCGCAAGGCCGGGUUUCGACCACGUCCGUGCUUAGGAUACUGGCAUAAUGGCUUUAAGCGACCCGUCUUGAAACACGGACCAAGGAGUC